GAAUGCUGACAUAAGUAACGAUAAAGCGGGUGAAAAGCCCGCUCGCCGGAAGACCAAGGGUUCCUGUCCAACGUUAAUCGGGGCAGGGUGAGUCGACCCCUAAGGCGAGGCCGAAAGGCGUAGUCGAUGGGAAACAGGUUAAUAUUCCUGUACUUGGUGUUACUGCGAAGGGGGGACGGAGAAGGCUAUGUUGGCCGGGCGACGGUUGUCCCGGUUUAAGCGUGUAGGCUGGUUUUCCAGGCAAAUCCGGAAAAUCAAGGCUGAGGCGUGAUGACGAGGCACUACGGUGCUGAAGCAACAAAUGCCCUGCUUCCAGGAAAAGCCUCUAAGCAUCAGGUAACAUCAAAUCGUACCC
rnacentral:rRNA from 1 species